rnacentral:rRNA from 1 species
GAUGAACGCUGGCGGCGUGCCUAAUACAUGCAAGUCGAGCGAACAGAUGAGGAGCUUGCUCCUCUGACGUUAGCGGCGGACGGGUGAGUAAAACGUGGAUAACCUACCUAUAAGACUGGGAUAACUUCGGGAAACCGGAGCUAAUACCGGAUAAUAUAUUGAACCGCAUGGUUCAAUAGUGAAAGACGGUUUUGCUGUCACUUAUAGAUGGAUCCGCGCCGCAUUAGCUAGUUGGUAAGGUAACGGCUUACCAAGGCAACGAUGCGUAGCCGACCUGAGAGGGAGAGCGGCCACACUGGAACUGAGACACGGUCCAGAGUCCUACGGGAGGCAGCAGUAGGGAAUCUGCCGCAAUGGGCGAAAGCCUGACGGAGCAACGCCGCGUGAGUGAUGAAGGUCUUCGGAUCGUAAAACUCUGUUAUUAGGGAAGAACAAAUGUGUAAGUAACUAUGCACGUCUUGACGGUACCUAAUCAGAAAGCCACGGCUAACUACGUG